rnacentral:pre_miRNA from 1 species
UUAGUACUCCCUCCGUUUGAAAUUACUUGUCGUGAAAAUGGAUAUAUCUAAACGUAUUUUAGUUUUAGAUACAUCCAUUUCCAAGACAAGUAAUUCUGAACGGAGGGAGUAAUUA